rnacentral:misc_RNA from 1 species
AGAUUAUAUAUGAUGCUGAUCUUUUAUUAUACAUAUAAUAAUGAUAAUAGAUGAUAUGUUAAAAUAACAAAUUUAAGCAUAUUUUUGGGCUAUCUCGCAGAGACACUGACACAAUUCUUGUGGUUUAGAAAACAUGGUCAUAUGAUCUGAACCUUCAAUCUUAAUCACUUGUUCAACAGGACUAUUUGCUAUCAUCCACUGCUGAAAUUCUUCAGGAAUUGCUUUGUCCUCUUCGCAUAUGAUAUAUACUCUGCUAACUGAUCCAUAUCCUUCACUUGAGAAUUUUUUUGCCUGGGAAAGAUCGUGCAGGAACAGUGAUGAAGGCCUUACCAAUGUCAUUGCCAAUUCAAGAUCCUCAAUGGGACUUAGUUGAUAAAGCUUGGAGGAUAUGAACUUGGGGCCAAAAAACAUUGAACUCAUAUGCUGCAGAGAGGUGCUGUAGGGCAGAAAUUGUGUGUCCAGCCAUGCUUCGUUUGGGGUCCUUUUGUUGUACUGAUCCAAUACGUAUGAUGGCUGGUGAAGGGUAUCAGGCAUGAAAGCUGAUAAGUAAACAGCAACAGAAAUCUUCUGAGGGAAUUUUUCCAUGGCAAGAGCCAAAUUCAGGCCUCCCAAGCUGUGCCCAACAAGGAUAACCCUUUCAUUUGGUGGUAGCGAAGCCAAUAACUCUAACAGAGGAUGAGUGUAUUCAUAAAGUGUAUGAACUUGUUGGAUUGACUUCAUGUCGAUGCCAGAAGCCGCCAGGUCCAGCGCCGAGACCUGGUGGCCGGCGGCCUUUAAUAAUGGCUUGAGCUUGUACCAAGACCAGGCCCCAUGGCAAGCCCCGUGGACCAGAACGAAAUGCUUUUGUUGGUUGAGUCGUGUCAUUUUUUCGCUUUGUGCAGAGCCCAGGGGUGAGGCUCUGGGAUGUGUCUAUUAACUGAUAAAAGGUUUUCCCUUCUAUCAAUUCUCACCAAC